rnacentral:rRNA from 1 species
UACGCAGGCGGUUUGGUAAGUCAGAGGUGAAAGCCCACAGCUUAACUGUGGCACUGCCUUUGAUACUGCCUUUCUAGAGUGCAUGAGGGGGAAGCGGAAUUCCGAGUGUAGAGGUGAAAUUCGUAGAUAUUCGGAGGAACACCGGUGGCGAAGGCGGCUUCCUGGCAUGUAACUGACGCUCAUGUACGAAAGCGUGGGUAGCAAACAGGAUUAGAUACCCUGGUAGUCCACGCCCUAAACGAUGGGCACUAGGUGUGGGAGGUAUCGACCCCUUCCGUGCCGCAGCUAACGCAUUAAGUGCCCCGCCUGGGGAGUACGGCCGCAAGGUUGAA